rnacentral:RNase_P_RNA from 1 species
AUGGUGGUAAUGCUUGCUUUAGGGGUCACUCACAGGUGCCUGGUCACCUCGUUGCACCCUUGGGAAGGUCUGAGACAUUGGUCAAGCGUGGCUCUAGCAGGGCUCCACUGUAAUCGGUGGGUGGGACAACCAGAAAUAGUCCAGCCCCGUCGCGUUUCGGCAGAAGACGUCUUGGUGUGCGGUUGCUAUCCUCGGCUGAUGCUAUGCGGCGGUGGUUCGGUUGGAACGGACCCACGACCGGCGACUGCAGUCCAAUUCGCAGGGUGAUGCGGCGCCAUCAUAACUCAAUUCAGACUACUCUACCCCCAU